GAUGAACGCUGGCGGCAUGCCUAAUACAUGCAAGUCGAGCGAACGGACGAGAAGCUUGCUUCUCUGAUGUUAGCGGCGGACGGGUGAGUAACACGUGGAUAACCUACCUAUAAGACUGGGAUAACUUCGGGAAACCGGAGCUAAUACCGGAUGAUAUUUUGAACCGCAUGGUUCAAAAGUGAAAGACGGUCUUGCUGUCACUUAUAGAUGGAUCCGCGCUGCAUUAGCUAGUUGGUAAGGUAACGGCUUACCAAGGCAACGAUGCAUAGCCGACCUGAGAGGGUGAUCGGCCACACUGGAACUGAGACACGGUCCAGACUCCUACGGGAGGCAGCAGUAGGGAAUCUUCCGCGAUGGGCGAAAGCCUGACGGAGCAACGCCGCGUGAGUGAUGAAGGUCUUCGGAUCGUAAAACUCUGUUAUUAGGGAAGAACAUAUGUGUAAGUAACUGUGCACAUCUUGACGGUACCUAAUCAGAAAGCCACGGCUAACUACGUG
rnacentral:rRNA from 1 species